rnacentral:rRNA from 1 species
AGCAGCCGCGGUAAUUCCAGCUCCAAUAGCGUAUAUUAAAGUUGUUGCAGUUAAAAAGCUCGUAGUUGAAUUUCGGGGUCAGUAGGUUGGUCGUGCCAAUGGUAUGCACUGGCUUUACUGAUUCCUCCUUCUUGAAGAACUGUAAUGUCAUUAAUUUGGUGUUGCAGGGAAACAGGACUGUUACUUUGAAAAAAUUAGAGUGUUUAAAGCAGGCUAACGCUUGAAUACAUUAGCAUGGAAUAAUGAAACAGGACGUUCGAUCCUAUUUUGUUGGUUUCUAGGAUUGACGUAAUGAUUAAUAGGGAUAGUUGGGGGCAUUAGUAUUCAAUUGUCAGAGGUGAAAUUCUUGGAUUUAUUGAAGACUAACUACUGCGAAAGCAUUUGCCAAGGAUGUUUUCAUUAAUCAAGAACGAAAGUUAGGGGAUCGAAGACGAUCAGAUACCGUCGUAGUCUUAACCAUAAACUAUGCCGACUAGGGAUCGGAUGAUGUUAAUUUUUUAAUGACUCA